rnacentral:rRNA from 1 species
AAUGGGCGAAAGCCUGAUGGAGCAACGCCGCGUGAGGGAUGAAGCAUUUCGGUGUGUAAACCUCUUUGGAGCGGGAAGAAUGCCGUUUGGGUGAACAGUCCAGACGGGUGACGGUACCGCUAGAACAAGACACGGCUAACUUCGUGCCAGCAGCCGCGGUAAUACGAAGGUGUCAAACGUUGUCCGGAAUUAUUGGGCGUAAAGGGCGCGUAGGCGGCCAGGUAAGUGAGAUGUGAAAGCUCUGGGCUCAACCCAGGAAUUGCAUUUCAUACUGCUUGGCUUGAGUUCGGUAGAGGAGGGCGGAAUUCCAGAAGUAGCGGUGAAAUGCGUAGAUAUCUGGAGGAACACCCGUGGCGAAGGCGGCUCUCUGGUCCGAUACUGACGCUGAGGCGCGAAAGGUAGGGGAGCAAA